rnacentral:rRNA from 1 species
CCUCGGGAGGCAGCAGUGGGGAAUAUUGGACAAUGGGCGAAAGCCUGAUCCAGCCAUGCCGCGUGUGUGAAGAAGGCCUUCGGGUUGUAAAGCACUUUCAGUGGGGAAGAAAGCCUUGGGGCUAAUACCCUCGAGGAAGGACAUCACCCACAGAAGAAGCACCGGCUAACUCCGUGCCAGCAGCCGCGGUAAUACGGGGGGUGCGAGCGUUAAUCGGAAUUACUGGGCGUAAAGCGCGCGUAGGCGGUCUGAUAAGCCGGUUGUGAAAGCCCCGGGCUCAACCUGGGAACGGCAUCCGGAACUGUCAGGCUAGAGUGCAGGAGAGGAAGGUAGAAUUCCCGGUGUAGCGGUGAAAUGCGUAGAGAUCGGGAGGAAUACCAGUGGCGAAGGCGGCCUUCUGGACUGACACUGACGCUGAGGUGCGAAAGCGUGGGUAGCAAACAGGAUUAGAUACCCUAGUAGUC